GAUGAACGCUAGCGGGAGGCUUAACACAUGCAAGUCGAGGGGUAAAUGGUAGCAAUACGUUGCCGGCGACCGGCGGAUGGGUGAGUAACGCGUAUGCAACCUGCCCACGACAGGGGGAUAGCCCGUUGAAAGACGGAUUAAUACCCCAUAAAACAGGGGUUCCGCAUGGGACUAUUUGUUAAAGGGUUUUCCGCGAGGGGGAUCCGGUUGUGGAUGGGCAUGCGUUCCAUUAGGCAGUUGGUGGGGUAACGGCUCACCAAACCGACGAUGGAUAGGGGAACCGGGAGGUUGGUCCCCCACACUGGUACUGAGAUACGGACCAGACUCCUACGGGAGGCAGCAGUGAGGAAUUUUGGUCAAUGGACGGAAGUCUGAACCAGCCAAGUCGCGUGAAGGAAGGCGGCCCUAAGGGUUGUAAACUUCUUUUGUAAGGGAAUAAAGGCCGGUACGCGUUACCGGUUUGCAGGUACCUUACGAAUAAGGAUCGGCUAACUCCGUG
rnacentral:rRNA from 1 species